AGCGGCGGACGGGUGAGUAACGCGUGGGUAACCUGCCCUGUACACACGGAUAACAUACCGAAAGGUAUGCUAAUACGGGAUAACAUAAGAAAGUCGCAUGGCUUUCUUAUCAAAGCUUUUGCGGUACAGGAUGGACCCGCGUCUGAUUAGCUAGUUGGUAAGGUAACGGCUUACCAAGGCGACGAUCAGUAGCCGACCUGAGAGGGUGAUCGGCCACAUUGGAACUGAGACACGGUCCAAACUCCUACGGGAGGCAGCAGUGGGGAAUAUUGCACAAUGGGCGUAAGCCUGAUGCAGCAACGCCGCGUGAGCGAUGAAGGCCUUCGGGUCGUAAAGCUCUGUCCUCAAGGAAGAUAAUGACGGUACUUGAGGAGGAAGCCCCGGCUAACUACGUGCCAGCAGCCGCGGUAAUACGUAGGGGGCUAGCGUUAUCCGGAAUUACUGGGCGUAAAGGGUGCGUAGGCGGUCUUUCAAGUCAGAAGUGAAAGGCUACGGCUCAACCGUAGUAAGCUUUUGAAACUGUAAGACUUGAGUGCAGGAGAGGAGAGUGGAAUUCCUAGUGUAGCGGUGAAAUGCGUAGAUAUUAGGAGGAACACCAGUUGCGAAGGCGGCUCUCUGGACUG
rnacentral:rRNA from 1 species